rnacentral:lncRNA from 1 species
UUUUGGUGAGAAUUUUUCCAAUUAUUUUUAUUAAUGCAUCUUGAAAGAAAUCUUCGGUUUAUAAAGCAAUAAUACCAAUAACCAUCUUCAUCAAGGAAUGUGCUACAGAAGUUGGAGAGUGACAGUAGAAAAAACCCUUAUGAGACUGACAGAGCUCUUCCAGCAAAACCAUGGAUGUGAAAAGAACCAUACCAGCAAUAUAUGAGACAUUAAGAGGUUCACCACAACCAGAAGCUCUGACUCCUGAGGCAUUCAUUAUGGAGACCCCAGUAAAACACGGAGCAUUGAAAAGGACUAAGGGCAUUCAUGGAUAAGGACCAUCCAAGGAGUUUUGUUGUACCUCCUCCCCUUUCCCCAAGAAAAACCACUGGGAAAUAAAGUAUAUUAAUGAGUAUAUAUAAUGACCUCCCCUGGAAAAUGGAAAUGCCGAAAUUCCCUAGAACUCACCUGGGAAGCAGCAGGUGAUGACUGAAGUGCAUUCACGGUCAUAGUGGGUCUCCAAACAUGACCACCUACUCCCAGGACUGUGGAAACGUGUCCUGCUCCUGCCUAGCAGAUGUAACCACAUCUCUGCAUUGCCUCAGAUGUGCUGCAGGAGGGCAAGGUCAUGCAGACAGACACAAAGACACGGCUCUGCUCAGCCUCUUCCUCCUUCCUUUUUGCUCUCACCUCCAUGCGCUGCAAACAGGAGCUGCUGCUCUUUGGACACUGCUUCCCUGCACAGCGCCCCAUAGUUCAAGGAGCUCUCACAACUCAUUUAGUUUCUUUCUUUCCCCUUGCCUGUUUGUACAGCCUGGAGCAGCAGAAGUGCUGCCGCACUUGCUGGGGGCUCAACUGGGUGCAAUAGAUCCAUGAAAAGCCUGAGGAGCUCCUCCAGGCUGAACUCCACAGUGCUGGUAGUAGCAACAGUACAGGGAACAGAUGGGCCAGCUGGCCUUCAAAAGCUACAGUCGCACUCUAAACUACGGCACGGGUAUGUUUCCUAGUGUGCUGGGAGUCGGAAGUCAUUAUCAACUUAGUGCUUAUUUUGGUUAUUACAGCAGUAUGUUGUUGAGACUGGUAAAAAGCUACAACAUAAAGAAUUCCUUUCACAAAACCUCUGAUCCUGUGGUGUCCUCAGUCCAUCGCUGGAAGGCAGCCAGCACCGUCGGGCAGUGCUAUAGCUUUGUCAUUUUUGUAAAGCAUCCAUAAAACAUGCACCUUAUUAAGCGCUUGGAAACUAAUCCUAGUUUAAAUUGAUUGUUGAACAAAGAAGCAGCAGUUUGCUGUUGGGGAAUGUUUUAUUUUCUUUUCACCAGAGGAAGGUGGGGAUAGGAAAACAGUCACACAAGUUGGAACCAAGUAAAUUAAAUGCAUUCAAUCAGCUAAUGGAUUGUCUCACAAAAGCUUGUACUAUUAGAAAAUUAAAUUAGUUCUUCCUAAUAUGCUGAGAUUCUUUAAGCCAUUAACACUUUUUUUUUUUUAGAGGCUGUCUGAAAUAUUCAGGGGAUUAAUUUUCACCCAAGGCUUUUUGCUUUCUCUACCAUACCUUUCAACCUUUCAGUCCCCAUUCUCUUCAGUCCUAUAAUCAGUGCUAAUUUGUGAAAAGCCUUUCUAAGCUAAAUAACUUUGGUGCAGUUCAUGAGUACAAAGAAAUAUUUCAGAUUUUUCUAAGGGAACACGGUGUUCUCAGAGGUCAGUUUCACAAGGUACUAUAUGAUUUAGUACCAUUGGUUACAAAAAGACUAGACUCAAGCAUGUUCACUGGUGGCUUCUUAUGACUUCUUAAAGCGAAACAACUGAAAAUGUAAGUAUUUUGAAUUUGUGGUUCUGCCCAUGCAAUGUUAUUCUAGAUGAGCCCCAUUCAGCUUACAUUAGGUUAAUUAACAGCAGUACGGCACUUGCUGGGGGCAGCUACAGAGUGGCCAGACAUACCUCCUUGGUGCACUACCACAGUGGUGUGCUCUGUGUGGUGUGGGGGCAGAGACUUCCUAUUCCCUUCAUGCCAUCCUGGUUCAGAUACUUCAGGGUCUAUGGUUGCGAAAUGCAGAGCAAGAUCAUUCACGACUUUAUAACCCCACCUAGACCUUGCUGAAGAGACAGGAGGGGAAGGGACAAGGAGUUUUCCUGUGAGUACAUACCUAUUCAGUACACAUAUUUUCAGAGUGCACUCCUUUUCUCUUUACAAGCAUAUCUGAUCUCACCCAAAUCACGAGGUGGAGGGUUCAAGGUGCCCCCCAGCUGAGCUAGAGAGGAGGCUGGAGGAAGGAUCAGUGCUUGGUUCUGCCUGUUCUCAGUGGAGAGGAACCAAUCUGUCCCAUGGAAAAACCCAGAGUCUGCAUCAAAGAUAGCUCAACAGUAGGAAGCACAAAGAUCCUGGGCAGGAGGGUCAGGGUUGAAAGGGAGUCAGAUAUGGACAUAAAGGCACUAUUCACCGAAAGUAUUUCUUUCCCAGGCAAGCAAAAAAGUCAGGUACAUAUGGAGAUCCAUUAUAUUGAUAGUCAAGUGCUUAAAACUGAGCACUUUGUUGGAUGAGAUCUGACAUGCCCUUAUGUAAGCAAAUUAUUUUUAUCUGCUUCUAGCCUAAUAGAGACUUGAAUAUUUUGAGAAUUCAUAGGUCUCAUUGCUAUGGAAACUAACUCUGUAUCUUUAGGUCAGCCUUGUUAUCUCUAAUUUGCAGAGUCCACAUCUAAUCUAAAAAAAAUAAAAAUAAAAAAAAAAUAGAAAGGAAGAAAGGAAAGAAAGAAGGAAAGAAAGGUGUAUUUGUUCUUUCAGUCCCACUCCCAACUACCCUUUGUCUCACUUCUGUAGCCAAAAGCAGAGUCCAACAGAGGUUGUGAUAUCCGCAGUCCAAAGCCAAGUUACUGGUUUCAACACCAAUGAGAAGUGAGGGGAUUUAUGCCGAUAGUACUGACAAUUGACAUAGGAGCAUCAGCAGGCAAGCCAGGCUCAUCCAGGGGUAGAUCUCCCUACAGGGCAAGCUGGCCUCAUAUAGCUGUCCUCUCCUUGUUUCUCUCUUGAUUGGGUGAGUGAGCCAAAAUGCUCAUCGAUGCUCUAAAUGCCAACAACUCUUUUCCAAUCCAUAGAUUAAUGGUGGGAGGAUUUACCAGCACAUGGACAAGGAGAGAUGCUGCCACAGGAGUGACUGAGCUGGUACCGUCUCAGUAAAACAGAUU